UACGUAGGGUGCGAGCGUUAAUCGGAAUUACUGGGCGUAAAGCGUGCGCAGGCGGUUAUAUAAGACAGAUGUGAAAUCCCCGGGCUCAACCUGGGACCUGCAUUUGUGACUGUAUAGCUAGAGUACGGUAGAGGGGGAUGGAAUUCCGCGUGUAGCAGUGAAAUGCGUAGAUAUGCGGAGGAACACCGAUGGCGAAGGCAAUCCCCUGGACCUGUACUGAAGCUCAUGCAAGAAAGCGUGGGGAGCAAACAGGCGGAGAUAACCGCGUAGUCC
rnacentral:rRNA from 1 species